UACGUAGGGGGCAAGCGUUGUCCGGAUUUAUUGGGCGUAAAGAGCGUGUAGGCGGCCAGGUAGGUCCGCUGUGAAAACUCGAGGCUCAACCUCGAGAUGUCGGCGGAAACCAUCUGGCUAGAGUCCGGAAGAGGAGAGUGGAAUUCCUGGUGUAGCGGUGAAAUGCGCAGAUAUCAGGAAGAACACCCGUGGCGAAGGCGGCUCUCUGGGACGGUACUGACGCUGAGACGCGAAAGCGUGGGUAGCAAACAGG
rnacentral:rRNA from 1 species